UCCAGAGGGUGCGAGCGUUAAGCGGAAUUACUGGGCGUAAAGCGUGCGUAGACGGUCAUGUAAGUCGGGUGUGAAAUCCCCGGGCUCAACCUGGGAAUUGCAUUCGAGACUGCGUGGCUAGGGUGCGGAAGAGGGAAGCGGAAUUUCCGGUGUAGCGGUGAAAUGCGUAGAUAUCGGAAGGAACAUCAGUGGCGAAAGCGGCCUCCGGGUCCAGCAACGACGGUCAGGCACGAAAGCGUGGGGAGCAAACAGG
rnacentral:rRNA from 1 species